rnacentral:rRNA from 1 species
GCUAAAAAUCUAGCCCUCAACAAUCUAUAACCCAAAAUACAAAUCAAAAUAUUUUAUGAUCCAAGUAAAGAUGAUUAAAAACUUAACAGGAGCUAUACCAACGUACCGCAAGGGAAAGAUGAAAUAAUAUGAAAUACCAAAAAGCACAAAAAAGUAAAGACUAUAGCUUGUACCUUUUGCAUCAUGGUUUAACUAGUCCAACCAAGCAAAAAGACUUUUAGUUUGACACCCCGAAACUGAGGGAGCUACUUCAAGGCAGCCCAUGAGCGAACCCGUCCCUGUUGCAAGAGGGUGGGAAGACCAUGUAGUAGCGGUGAAAAGCCUAACGGACUCAGUGAUAGCUGGUUACUCAAGAAAAGAAUUUCAGUCCAACCUAAAGCCACCAAAUAUCAACCUUAACUAUCUGCUUUAGAGCAAUUCAAAUAAGGUACAGCCUAUUUGAAAAAGGACACAACCUCAACCAACGGGUAAUUACAAUACAACCUAAACUAAGUUGGCCUAAAAGCAGCCACCUUAUAUAGAGCGUCAAAGCCUAAUUUUAAUUGUACUAAAUACCUAAAUUGAUAAAAAACCCUUCAUCAUUAUUGAGUAAUUCUAUAUCUUUAUAGAAAUUUUUAUGUUAAAACUAGUAACAAGAAGACACCCUUCUCUUUUAUCCAAGUGUAAAUCAGAUCGGACACACCACUGAUCAUCAUACAGCCUACGAACAGCACCCCAUCUAGAAAAUCCUGUUCCACUUACUGUUAACCUGACACAAGAGCAUAUCAAGAAAGAUUAAAAGAAAAAGAAGGAAUUCGGCAAAUACUGAUCCCGCCUGUUUACCAAAAACAUCGCCUCUCGCAAUAAAUGAGAGGUCUAGCCUGCCCAGUGACACCUGUUCAACGGCCACGGUAU